GCUAUUGCUUAAAGCUUCUAGAGCGAGACAUUACUGUCAGAAUCUAAAGAGACAAUGAAUUCCCUGCUGCACCUACUCUGCAUCCUUAGCCUCUUCAAUCAGGAUUCGUAUAGUCAGAAUGUUAUCACCCAGUUGCCGGCUUUUAUAUCAGUUGCUCCAGGAGGCAGUGCCACCAUCAGCUGUCUGACCACAUGUGAUGUAGGAAGCUACAUGGCCUGGUACCGUAAGAAACCUGGAGAGAAGCCUAAACUCCUGAUAUACUCUUCAAGCUCUCGCUUUUCUGACGCUCCAAGCCACAUUAGUGGUACUGGCUCACAGACAUCCUUCAAUCUGACUAUCAGUGCGGUGAAGUCUGAAGACGAAGGCCAUUACUACUGUCAGCAGUAUAAAGAGGUCCCUCUCACAGUAGUAAAGAAUCGUACAAAAACUGCCUUGAGUCAGUAG